UGGGUUGGCCCAAAAGUUCGUUCAGGUUUUUACUUAAGACCAUAGAAAACCCUAAUGAACUUUUGGGCCAACUCA
rnacentral:miRNA from 1 species